rnacentral:lncRNA from 1 species
ACAUUUAUCUUUAAUCUGGUAGCAUAACAUACUGUGAUUCUGCUGCCAUGCUGUUUUUAUUCUAUAAGCUUUUCCUUAGUUUGAAGUAAAGAACAUAAAAUAUUUGAAAAUAUUUGCGAGUCUGACAGGUAAUGAAAAUUCUGUCCCUUAAAAAAAAAAAAAGGGAACACUGGAUUUUUUUCCAUUUUCAGCAUGGUUUCUUUCCUUGAUCGGACUGGCUUUGAGGCGUGCGCAAUUCCUAACCUGGCAGUGGUUCUGGUUUGCUAUCAGCCUCAUAGAACAAUAUCGAGGGUUUAUUUGCUAAAAAGGUGAAGUCGUUUCCUUUUUCUUUUUCUUCCCUCACACCCUUGUAUAUACAAAAGCUUGUUACCCAUAGAUGGUAAGAAGUAUCCGUAAAAUGUAAAAUACCAAGUGCCUUUGAUUCACUGGAAAUGUAAAUGACAAACGUUAAUUUCUACUAGUAUUACUCUGUAAUAUGCUGUAAACUACAGAAUGACUUCUAGAUUUAGUUCUUCACACCAGAAAGAAUAACCUUCACUUUCAUAGGUGGAAGAUGGCUAUUUUAUGAACAACAGCUGCUGGUAAAUACAUGGGGAAAACAACAGAUAAAACAUCACUGUUGGCUGAAGGAAAUGCUGCCAAGGGAACAGUUGUUAUAAACAGAAGAAAGAGAGGGCUACAGAGCGCUGAUUUUUUGCAACGUGAACGAGAGAAGAGUAUCAGACAAGAUGACGUCAUGCGUUUCAAAAGCUUGUAGGUGCCUUCUUGAUUCGCAAACAUAGUGUGGCUAUAUGAGACAAUCCUCAUGUUACCCAGAGAUGUGUUUCAAAGCAUCAACUGAACCAAAAAUACGGAGUAUAUUAUUCCACCCUGUAUAGCAGUUGUGAAGACGCUGUUUUCAGUUGUGAGUACACUGUUUAACUAAGAAUGAAAUCCUGAAGAAAGCAUGUCCAGUAGUGAGACCUGUGUUUUUGAACUGGAAGAGAUGUGUAUAAAAUCUUUCAUUGUAAAAUAUAUUAAAAAACAAGUAUGAAAAACAAUAAAACUCUGCAGGAAUUGUUACUGUAGGGUGAC